rnacentral:rRNA from 1 species
AUACGGAGGAUGCGAGCGUUAUCCGGAUUUAUUGGGUUUAAAGGGAGCGUAGGCGGGAGCUUAAGUCAGCGGUUAAAUGGUGCGGCUCAACCGUGCCCUGCCGUUGAAACUGGGUUUCUUGAGAGUGCAAGAGGCGGAUGGAAUUCAUGGUGUAGCGGUGAAAUGCUUAGAUAUCAUGAAGAACUCCGAUUGCGAAGGCGGUCCGCUGGGGCACGUCUGACGCUGAUGCUCGAAGGUGCGGGUAUCAAACAGGAUUAGAUACCCUGGUAGUCCGCACAGUAAACGAUGGACACCCGCGGUUUGGCCUGUAUGGCUGAACCGCCAAGCGAAAGCGUUAAGUGUCCCACCUGGGGAGUACGCCGGCAACGGUGAAACUCAAAGGAAUUGGCGGGG